rnacentral:rRNA from 1 species
GACGAACGCUGGCGGCGUGCUUAACACAUGCAAGUCGAACGCUGAAGACCUGGCUUUUGUUGGGUUGGAUGAGUGGCGAACGGGUGAGUAACACGUGAGUAACCUGCCCUCUUCUUUGGGAUAACGCCCGGAAACGGGUGCUAAUACUGGAUAUUCACUGGCCUUCGCAUGGGGGUUGGUGGAAAGGUUUGUUCUGGUGGGGGAUGGGCUCGCGGCCUAUCAGCUUGUUGGUGGGGUGAUGGCCUACCAAGGCUUUGACGGGUAGCCGGCCUGAGAGGGUGACCGGUCACAUUGGGACUGAGAUACGGCCCAGACUCCUACGGGAGGCAGCAGUGGGGAAUAUUGCACAAUGGGCGAAAGCCUGAUGCAGCGACGCCGCGUGAGGGAUGGAGGCCUUCGGGUUGCAAACCUCUUUCGCUCAUGGUCAAGCCGCAACUGUGGGUUGUGGUGAGGGUAGUGGGUAAAGAAGCGCCGGCUAACUACGUG